UUUGCCAUUAUAGGAAAGGUAACAGUUGUGCAUGGCUCGGUGGUUUCUUUAGUUUGUUACUUUGAGGAUAUGAGUUUGGUAAGUUUUGAUUCAAAACAUAUCGUAUCUAAAUUCAGAUCUAUGAAAGCGACGGGUGGACCGGGGGGUGCAGGCAUGGUAUUUGGGGGUCCAUAUGACACGUGAAAUUGGAAUAAAUGUGUUGUUAUUGAGGGAAGAUCUAUAGACUAUAGCUGUUGGUUGGGACCUGCAUAAUAGCUAGGGCCGAAAGUCGGAGAAAACAAUGAAAGAAAGAGUCUUUUGUUUUGCCAGUAUGCUGCCAUUGCCAGAGUCAGUCUUCAUGACCUAGCACCCAACAAAUCGACAACCAGAUAGAUAAUCGAGUGUUGUGUGGCUGCUUUAUAUCUUGAGAUUGGCCAUGGAAUCCAAACCGGGCAAUAUAAUAAGAAUUUGUGUGCCUGCUUUUAUGCAGACAUGUUUGCUUUUCUGAACUUGGAUGAGUAAGGGGGGGUUAGAUUCAUAGAUAUUCUCAGACUCUUUUGAUGUGGGUGAUCAUCUUGUCUUUGAAAGAUGGAUGGAAUAAUGUUUAUUGUCUUUAUCAUCAUAUUUUAUCUU